CGGGGUGUAGCGUAGUCCGGUUAUCGCGCCUGGUUUGGGACCAGGAGGUCGUAGGUUCGAAUCCUGCCACCCCGACAA
rnacentral:tRNA from 2 species